ACGUAUCUCCGACGGGGAGGGCUCUCCCGGCUCCGGCUCCGGCCGCUGAGCGGGUUCCCGAACCGCUCAACUUCACAAACCCACCGUGCACUUUGACGGCGGAGGCUGCGGGGAGGCCUUUUGGCCCGCCGCGUGCCGAAGCCGGACUUCACAAACCACGAGUUCACAAAGUAUGACUGCGGACGUCGCGCCGCCUAAACAACGAAA
rnacentral:misc_RNA from 2 species